rnacentral:rRNA from 1 species
AGAACGAACGCUGGCGGCAUGCCUAAUACAUGCAAGUCGAACGAACACUUCGGUGUUAGUGGCGCACGGGUGCGUAACGCGUGGGAAUCUGCCCUUGGGUUCGGAAUAACAGUUGGAAACGACUGCUAAUACCGGAUGAUAUCGAAAGAUCAAAGAUUUAUCGCCCAGGGAUGAGCCCGCGUAGGAUUAGCUAGUUGGUGAGGUAAAGGCUCACAAGGCGACGAUCCUAGCUGUCUGAGAGGAUGAUCAGCCACACGUGGGACUGAGACACGACCCAGACUCCGACGGGAGCAGC